AUUACAAGGUUAUCUAUUUCAAGCUUACCUAUUACAAGCUUUUUGGGGGAGGUUCAGGUGAUGGGUCAGUAAUAUUCCAGAAUCACACCCAAGCUUACCCAUGUCAAGUUUACCUGUUUCAAGCUUUUUGUGGCUGAGGUGACAGCUUGGUAAUAUUCCAGAAUCACACCCAAGCUUACCCAUGUCAAGUUUACCUGUUUCAAGCUUUUUGUGGCUGAGGUGACAGCUUGGUAAUAUUCCAGAAUCACACCCAAGCUUACCCAUGUCAAGUUUACCUGUUUCAAGCUUUUUGUGGCUGAGGUGACAGCUUGGUAAUAUUCCAGAAUCACACCCAAGCUUACCCAUGUCAAGUUUACCUGUUUCAAGCUUUUUGUGGCUGAGGUGACAGCUUGGUAAUAUUCCAGAAUCACACCCAAGCUUACCCAUGUCAAGUUUACCUGUUUCAAGCUUUUUGUGGCUGAGGUGACAGCUUGGUAAUAUUCCAGAAUCACACCCAAGCUUACCCAUGUCAAGUUUACCUGUUUCAAGCUUUUUGUGGCUGAGGUGACAGCUUGGUAAUAUUCCAGAAUCACACCCAAGCUUACCCAUGUCAAGUUUACCUGUUUCCGUUCACCGGUGAUGAGGUUUCAGGCCCCGGUCCGCCGCCGCCGCAGCGAUCCACAG